GGAGAACAGAGCCCAGGCAAAGUUGGAUAUUCUAGCAUAUCUGAACGUGCCACCCUGAUGUCAUUUACAUGGCAGAGAGAGGGAAGAUGUGGAGAAGAUGGAACACGGGUCAGGCCGUCCUCCUCGCUCUACUCCAGGGCUGCCGUCUCUGGCUGGCCAGUCAGGGCCUGCGCUGCACCAAGGUACUGAGCCCAGAAAUCCAGCAUGUAUUCUCUUGCCAAGCCACAAAGCUUCGCAUGGAAUUGUAUUCCCCCGGAGGAAAGGGUGCCUCUUUUCCACAACAGCACUUAGCGCUGUAUCCUCAUUGAGAAGAUGCCCUUUGAACAAAGACCUGAAGAAUGGCCUGCAGAUGUCUCUGGAAAAUCGUCCAGUUUCUCCGAGGACCAGGGUUAAGAACAUGUGGAAAUAUUUAUGUGGUGAAAUGAAUACUGGAACAAGAGCUACAAGAAUUGAAUUUUAGUGUUAUCGUCUGCCAACAAACCACGCAUCUUUGAGUAAAGCCAUGCAGCAUCCCUGGCCCAGAUUGUUAAGAAAAAAUGAGGCUGUUCAAUUGGAUGUCUUAAAUAUGUUUUCUAGCUUAAAGGUAAUAUUAUUUCAUCUUUUGAAUAUCCUUGCUUGGUUUGCUGAUUUUUUAAGUUUAUGCACAUAGCUUAGAACAUAAAUUCUGAG
rnacentral:lncRNA from 1 species